UACGUAGGGGGCAAGCGUUGUCCGGAAUCAUUGGGCGUAAAGAGCGUGUAGGCGGCCCGAUUAGUCCGCUGUGAAAGUCCAGGGCUCAACCCUGGAAUGCCGGUGGAUACUGUCGGGCUAGAGUCCGGAAGGGGCGAGUGGAAUUCCUGGUGUAGCGGUGAAAUGCGCAGAUAUCAGGAGGAACACCAAUGGCGAAGGCAGCUCGCUGGGACGUGACUGACGCUGAGACGCGAAAGCGUGGGGAUCAAACAGG
rnacentral:rRNA from 1 species